UUUAUGGAGAGUUUGAUCCUGGCUCAGGAUGAACGCUGGCGGCGUGCCUAAUACAUGCAAGUCGAGCGAACGGACGAGAAGCUUGCUUCUCUGAUGUUAGCGGCGGACGGGUGAGUAACACGUGGAUAACCUACCUAUAAGACUGGGAUAACUUCGGGAAACCGGAGCUAAUACCGGAUAAUAUUUUGAACCGCAUGGUUCAAAAGUGAAAGACGGUCUUGCUGUCACUUAUAGAUGGAUCCGCGCUGCAUUAGCUAGUUGGUAAGGUAACGGCUUACCAAGGCAACGAUGCAUAGCCGACCUGAGAGGGUGAUCGGCCACACUGGAACUGAGACACGGUCCAGACUCCUACGGGAGGCAGCAGUAGGGAAUCUUCCGCAAUGGGCGAAAGCCUGACGGAGCAACGCCGCGUGAGUGAUGAAGGUCUUCGGAUCGUAAAACUCUGUUAUUAGGGAAGAACAUAUGUGUAAGUAACUGUGCACAUCUUGACGGUACCUAAUCAGAAAGCCA
rnacentral:rRNA from 1 species